rnacentral:snRNA from 10 species
GGAUAUGAGGGCGAUAUGGCUGCAACAUCUGUCACUCCAUUGAUCACCAGGGUUGAUUCGGCUGAUCUGGCUGGCUAGGCAGGUGUCCUCUUCCUCCCUCACUGCUCCAUGUGCAUCCCUCCAGAAGCUGCGCACUCGGGGGAAGAAGGUGACCAUCUGGAUAGAGGAGGACCAGUCUUUGGUCAAGGAUAUACAAGUAGCUGCACUCCCCUGCUAGAACCUCCAAACAAUCCCAAAUAAGGUAAGAAUCUUAGGUUCUGGGUAGACAUGAAAUCCCGGGGCGGUGAAGGGAGGGGACUCUUCAACUCAGUACAGUCCUCAUCCAGUCCCAGAGAGUGGCCAUUCCACUGUGGUCUCAUCU